GAUGAAGAACGUAGCGAAAUGCGAUAGGUAAUGUGAAUUGCAGAAUUCAGUGAAUCAUCGAAUCUUUGAACGCACAUUGCGCCCCUUGGUAUUCCAUGGGGCAUGCCUGUUCGAGCGUCAUUUGUACCUUCAAGCUUUGCUUGGUGUUGGGUGUUUGUCCAUUCUCUUGCAGAGGGACUCGCCUUAAAGUAAUUGGCAGCCAGUGUUUUGGUUUUGAAGCGCAGCACAAGUCGCGAUUCAAAGCUAUACGCCCGCUUCCACAAGCCUUUUUCACUUUUGACCUCGGAUCAGGUAGGGAUACCCGCUGAACUUAAGCAUAUCAAUAAGCGGAGGA
rnacentral:misc_RNA from 1 species